GACGAACGCUGGCGGCGUGCUUAACACAUGCAAGUCGAACGGAAAGGCCCUGCUUUCGUGGGGUGCUCGAGUGGCGAACGGGUGAGUAACACGUGAGUAACCUGCCCUUGACUUUGGGAUAACUUCAGGAAACUGGGGCUAAUACCGGAUAGGAGCUCCUGUUGCAUGGUGGGGGUUGGAAAGUCUCGGCGGGUGGGGAUGGACUCGCGGCUUAUCGGCUUGUUGGUGGGGUAGUGGCUUACCAAGGCUUUGACGGGUAGCCGGCCUGUGAGGGUGACCGGCCACAUGGGGACUGAGAUACGGACCAGACUCGUACGGGAGGCAGCGGUGGGGAGUAUUGCACAAUGGGCGGGAGCCGGAUGCAGCGGCGCCGCGUGCGGGAUGACGGCCUUCGGGUUGUAAACCGCUGUCGCUUGUGACGAAGCGUGAGUGACGGUAAUGGGUAAAGAAGCACCGGCUAACUACGUG
rnacentral:rRNA from 1 species